UGGGUGUCAAUUGAGUUGUCUUUGAGGCCC
rnacentral:piRNA from 1 species